rnacentral:rRNA from 1 species
UUCGACACACUAUCAUUAACUGAAUCCAUAGGUUAAUGAGGCGAACCGGGGGAACUGAAACAUCUAAGUACCCCGAGGAAAAGAAAUCAACCGAGAUUCCCCCAGUAGCGGCGAGCGAACGGGGAGGAGCCCAGAGCCUGAAUCAGUGUGUGUGUUAGUGGAAGCGUCUGGAAAGGCGCGCGAUACAGGGUGACAGCCCCGUACACAAAAAUGCACAUAUUGUGAGCUCGAUGAGUAGGGCGGGACACGUGGUAUCCUGUCUGAAUAUGGGGGGACCAUCCUCCAAGGCUAAAUACUCCUGACUGACCGAUAGUGAACCAGUACCGUGAGGGAAAGGCGAAAAGAACCCCGGCGAGGGGAGUGAAAAAGAACCUGAAACCGUGUACGUACAAGCAGUGGGAGCCUCUUAAUGGGGUGACUGCGUACCUUUUGUAUAAUGGGUCAGCGACUUAUAUUCUGUAGCAAGGUUAACCGAAUAGGGGAGCCGAAGGGAAACCGAGUCUUAACUGGGCGUUAAGUUGCAGGGUAUAGACCCGAAACCCGGUGAUCUAGCCAUGGGCAGGUUGAAGGUUGGGUAACACUAACUGGAGGACCGAACCGACUAAUGUUGAAAAAUUAGCGGAUGACUUGUGGCUGGGGGUGAAAGGCCAAUCAAACCGGGAGAUAGCUGGUUCUCCCCGAAAGCUAUUUAGGUAGCGCCUCGUGAAUUCAUCUCCGGGGGUAGAGCACUGUUUCGGCAAGGGGGUCAUCCCGACUUACCAACCCGAUGCAAACUGCGAAUACCGGAGAAUGUUAUCACGGGAGACACACGGCGGGUGCUAACGUCCGUCGUGAAGAGGGAAACAACCCAGACCGCCAGCUAAGGUCCCAAAGUCAUGGUUAAGUGGGAAACGAUGUGGGAAGGCCCAGACAGCCAGGAUGUUGGCUUAGAAGCAGCCAUCAUUUAAAGAAAGCGUAAUAGCUCACUGGUCGAGUCGGCCUGCGCGGAAGAUGUAACGGGGCUAAACCAUGCACCGAAGCUGCGGCAGCGACACUAUGUGUUGUUGGGUAGGGGAGCGUUCUGUAAGCCUGUGAAGGUGGCCUGUGAGGGUUGCUGGAGGUAUCAGAAGUGCGAAUGCUGACAUAAGUAACGAUAAAGCGGGUGAAAAGCCCGCUCGCCGGAAGACCAAGGGUUCCUGUCCAACGUUAAUCGGGGCAGGGUGAGUCGACCCCUAAGGCGAGGCCGAAAGGCGUAGUCGAUGGGAAACAGGUUAAUAUUCCUGUACUUGGUGUUACUGCGAAGGGGGGACGGAGAAGGCUAUGUUGGCCGGGCGACGGUUGUCCCGGUUUAAGCGUGUAGGCUGGUUUUCCAGGCAAAUCCGGAAAAUCAAGGCUGAGGCGUGAUGACGAGGCACUACGGUGCUGAAGCGACAAAUGCCCUGCUUCCAGGAAAAGCCUCUAAGCAUCAGGUAACAUCAAAUCGUACCCCAAACCGACACAGGUGGUCAGGUAGAGAAUACCAAGGCGCUUGAGAGAACUCGGGUGAAGGAACUAGGCAAAAUGGUGCCGUAACUUCGGGAGAAGGCACGCUGAUAUGUAGGUGAAGCGACUUGCUCGUGGAGCUGAAAUCAGUCGAAGAUACCAGCUGGCUGCAACUGUUUAUUAAAAACACAGCACUGUGCAAACACGAAAGUGGACGUAUACGGUGUGACGCCUGCCCGGUGCCGGAAGGUUAAUUGAUGGGGUUAGCGGUAACGCGAAGCUCUUGAUCGAAGCCCCGGUAAACGGCGGCCGUAACUAUAACGGUCCUAAGGUAGCGAAAUUCCUUGUCGGGUAAGUUCCGACCUGCACGAAUGGCGUAAUGAUGGCCAGGCUGUCUCCACCCGAGACUCAGUGAAAUUGAACUCGCUGUGAAGAUGCAGUGUACCCGCGGCAAGACGGAAAGACCCCGUGAACCUUUACUAUAGCUUGACACUGAACAUUGAGCCUUGAUGUGUAGGAUAGGUGGGAGGCUUUGAAGUGUGGACGCCAGUCUGCAUGGAGCCGACCUUGAAAUACCACCCUUUAAUGUUUGAUGUUCUAACGUGGGCCCCUUACCGGGGUUGCGGACAGUGUCUGGUGGGUAGUUUGACUGGGGCGGUCUCCUCCUAAAGAGUAACGGAGGAGCACGAAGGUUGGCUAAUCCUGGUCGGACAUCAGGAGGUUAGUGCAAUGGCAUAAGCCAGCUUGACUGCGAGCGUGACGGCGCGAGCAGGUGCGAAAGCAGGUCAUAGUGAUCCGGUGGUUCUGAAUGGAAGGGCCAUCGCUCAACGGAUAAAAGGUACUCCGGGGAUAACAGGCUGAUACCGCCCAAGAGUUCAUAUCGACGGCGGUGUUUGGCACCUCGAUGUCGGCUCAUCACAUCCUGGGGCUGAAGUAGGUCCCAAGGGUAUGGCUGUUCGCCAUUUAAAGUGGUACGCGAGCUGGGUUUAGAACGUCGUGAGACAGUUCGGUCCCUAUCUGCCGUGGGCGCUGGAGAACUGAGGGGGGCUGCUCCUAGUACGAGAGGACCGGAGUGGACGCAUCACUGGUGUUCGGGUUGUCAUGCCAAUGGCACUGCCCGGUAGCUAAAUGCGGAAGAGAUAAGUGCUGAAAGCAUCUAAGCACGAAACUUGCCCCGAGAUGAGUUCUCCCUGACUCCUUGAGAGUCCUGAAGGAACGUUG